GACGGAGGGGGCAAGCGUUGUCCGGACUCACUGGGCGGUAAAGGGUAGCGUAGGCGGUUUGGUGCGCUCGGCGCUGAAAUCCGUGGGCUUAACCCACGGGCGCGUGGCCGAUACGACCUGACUUGAGGGCUCGGAGAGGGUGGGAGAACUCCUGGUCGUAGUGGUGGAAAUGCGUAGAGAUCAGGAAGAAUACCUGUGGCGCAAGCGCCACCUGGCCGAGACCUGACGCUGAGGCACGAAAGCGUGGGGAGCGAACCGG
rnacentral:rRNA from 1 species